rnacentral:rRNA from 1 species
CCUACGGGUGGCAGCAGUGGGGAAUAUUGCACAAUGGGGGAAACCCUGAUGCAGCGACGCCGCGUGGGUGAAGAAGGGCUUCGGCAUGUAAAGCCCUAUCGGCAGGGAAGAAGCAAGACGGUACCUGACUAUGAAGCCCCGGCUAACUACGUGCCAGCAGCCGCGGUAAGACGUAGGGGGCGAGCGUUAUCCGGAUUUACUGGGUGUAAAGGGAGCGUAGACGGCCAUGCAAGCCAGGGGUGAAAGCCGGGGGCCCAACCCCGGAACUGCCAUUGGAACUGGAUGGCUGGAGUGCGGGAGGGGCAGGCGGAAUUCGUGGUGUAGCGGUGAAAUGCGUAGAUAUCAGGAGGAACACCGGCGGCGAAGGCGGCCUGCUGGAACGCGACUGACGUUGAGGCUCGAAAGCGUGGGGAGCGAACAGGAUUAGAUACCCGAGUAGUC